UGGAGAGAUGGAGCACAUGAGAACAUACACGAUAUCUGAAGACAGUGGGCCUGGCUUCAGCUUUUGUAUCUGUGGUGUAGGGUAAAUCAAUGUUGUCAUGGCAACAUUUCCAGAUAAUGAUAUUGUUUCUCAUGGGCUAUGGGACGUUCUGAACUUUGAAGGCCGAGCCUAGGCACUAAUGACGCCAAAAGCAUUUCUCUACCUAAGUAAUAAUUACUAUUACUUAAUUGAUACCCAAGAUUUACUCAACCAAACACAGUCAAUUUUUUUCCAUCACUUUUUACAACCACAAGACCUCAUACACCUUACUUCAAUUAAACAGCAGGUGGUGCUGCUGUCUUGAUAUAACCACAAUCUGGAGUUUGUGUUUCAGCCCAAUGAUAGCCACAUUAGCUGCGGGAUGGGGAUGGAGAAAGGUAACAUCACAAGCAUGGAUACUGUAAUAAUACCAUAAAAUUAACAAUAUAUGUCUGGUUAUGAUGUGAUAAGACAGUUGGGUAACAUAGUUAUGACAGCUAUUAGGACAUACACUGCAUGACUUAACGUAUGUGGACACCUGCUCAUACAGCAUCUCAUUCCAAAAUCAUGGGCAUUAAUAUUGAGUUGGUCCCUCCUUUGCUGCUAUAUCAGCCUCCACUCUUCUGUGAAGGCUUUCCACUAGAUGUUGGAACAUUGCUGCUGGGACUUUCUUCCAUUCAGUCACAAGAGCAUUAGUGAGGUCGUGCACUGAUGUUGGGCGAUUAGGCCUGGCUCGCAGUUGGCGUUCCAAUUCAUCCUAAAGGUGUUCGAUGGGGUUGAGAUCAGGGCUCUGUGCAGGCCAGUCAAGUUCUUCCACACCGAUCUCGACAAACCAUUUCUGUGUGGACCUCGCUUUGUACACGGGGGGAUUGUCAUGCUGAAACAGGAAAGGGCCUUCCCCAAACUAUUGCCAUAAAGUUAGAAGCACAGAAUCGUCUAGAAUGUCAUUGUAUGCUGUAGCAUUAAUAUUUCCCUUCACUGGAACUAAGGGGCCUAGCCCGAACCAUGAAAAACAGCCCCAGACCAUUAUUCUUCCUCCACCAAACUUUACAGUUGGC
rnacentral:lncRNA from 1 species